AAACAUGUUUUUUUGAAAAUAAUUUAAAGUUUAAUUUGCCCACUGAUNAAAUUAUUAAAGGGCUGCAGUAUUUUGACUGUACAAAGGUAGCAUAAUCAUUAGUCUCUUAAUUGGUGACUUGUAUGAAAGAUUGGAUGAAAUAUAUACUGUCUCUAUUUAAUUUAUAAAAUUUAAUUUUUUAGUAAAAAAGCUAAAAUGAAUUUAAAAGACGAGAAGACCCUAUAGAGUUUGAUAAUUUAUUUAAUUAUUAUUAAUAUAUAAAUUUUAAAAUUAAAAUUAAAUAAAUUAUUUUGUUGGGGUGAUAGAAAAAUUAAAUUAACUUUUUUUUUAUUUUAUACAUUAAUUUAUGAAUGAAUGAUCCAUUAAUAAUGAUUAAAAGAAAAAAUUACCUUAGGGAUAACAGCGUAAUUUUUUUUUUUAGUUCAAAUAGGAAAAAAAGUUUGCGACCUCGAUGUUGGAUUAAGAUAAAAUUUAAAUGCAAAAGUUUAAAAUUUUAAUCUGUUCGAUCAUUAAAAUCUUA
rnacentral:rRNA from 1 species